UGGGGAAUUUUGGACAAUGGGCGCAAGCCUGAUCCAGCCAUGCCGCGUGCAGGAUGAAGGCCUUCGGGUUGUAAACUGCUUUUGUACGGAACGAAAAAGCUCUCUCUAAUACAGGGGGGAAUGACGUACCGA
rnacentral:rRNA from 1 species